rnacentral:rRNA from 1 species
AAUAGAUACCCGGGUAGUCCACGCCGUAAACGAUGUCGACUUGGAGGUUGUGCCCUUGAGGCGUGGCUUCCGGAGCUAACGCGUUAAGUCGACCGCCUGGGGAGUACGGCCGCAAGGUUAAAACUCAAAUGAAUUGACGGGGGCCCGCACAAGCGGUGGAGCAUGUGGUUUAAUUCGAUGCAACGCGAAGAACCUUACCUACUCUUGACAUCCAGAGAACUUAGCAGAGAUGCUUUGGUGCCUUCGGGAACUCUGAGACAGGUGCUGCAUGGCUGUCGUCAGCUCGUGUUGUGAAAUGUUGGGUUAAGUCCCGCAACGAGCGCAACCCUUAUCCUUUGUUGCCAGCGGUUAGGCCGGGAACUCAAAGGAGACUGCCAGUGAUAAACUGGAGGAAGGUGGGGAUGACGUCAAGUCAUCAUGGCCCUUACGAGUAGGGCUACACACGUGCUACAAUGGCGCAUACAAAGAGAAGCGACCUCGCGAGAGCAAGCGGACCUCAUAAAGUGCGUCGUAGUCCGGA